CUCGCAUGGGGACCUGCUUAGGUCUCUUUCCUAAGGCUGUGUUUAACCUGUCUGUAGCCUCAGGCUACUUCCAUGUUCAGCAGGAGGAAAUGAGAAGAAGGGGUCUCUGAUGUUGUACCAUCACCUUUGUGCUGGCAUCAGUUUUGCAGAGCACCUGAGGCUGGGUGCCUUGGGCGGCUUCUGCAGACAGAGUUUCUUGAAUGUGUCUCACGUUGCACCCUGGCUGGGUCACCCAAUAUGCUCAUGCUCCUCAGAGAGGCUGUCUGAAGAGAGGGAUGUGGAAAUACAAGUGAAUGAAACAAAGAAAGAGCAGCAGGAAGACAGAAGAGCAUGGAAGUUGUGAUAAGAUCUUCAAUUUGCAGAGGGCUCAUGCAUACUCCUUUGUAUAUUUUAUUGGAAAGUUGAGUAGCUUGGAGUUUCCAGAAAGAGUCAGCAGUCAGCACAGCUGCGGGCGGAUAACUCUUCUUGCCACAUUGCGUGAGAGAACAGGCACACACCAGAAAGCACGGCUCCUCCCGUCCCUCUGGACCACUCCUGGUGAUUUUGCGGGAAGGCUUCUUCCACUCGUCUCUGUUUCCUCCAAAAGAAAAUUCUGCUCAGAUUGGGCUCAGUUAUUGAUCUCAUUGCAUUCCCACGCAGGCCAAUGGGAGUUUUUCUGUCUUUGGCGGUGAGAGCAAGAUUAGGUCCGCAGUAAUUGGAUGAAUUUCCACUGCUUGGCUAGAAAUUGGCAAGAUGCUGAAUAUACCUGUCCCUCUGUCCACUGACGGCUGGUAUAAGGUUACUGGGUUGGUAGCUACAUCAAAACCCCCUGUAUUCAGAGAGGUAAAAUGAGUUGAAUAAAGUAAAUAAAUGGGAGGGUCAAGGGCAGACACUCUGCAGUUGAUGCAGGCAUGGCUGGUGAUAUCCGCAUGGGAU